rnacentral:rRNA from 1 species
GAUGAACGCUGGCGGCGUGCCUAAUACAUGCAAGUCGAGCGGACGGACGAGAAGCUUGCUUCUCUGAUGUUAGCGGCGGACGGGUGAGUAACACGUGGAUAACCUACCUAUAAGACUGGGAUAACUUCGGGAAACCGUAGCUAAUACCGGAUAAUAUUUUGAACCGCAUGGUUCAAAAGUGAAAGACGGUCUUGCUGUCACUUAUAGAUGGAUCCGCGCUGCAUUAGCUAGUUGGUAAGGUAACGGCUUACCAAGGCAACGAUGCAUAGCCGACCUGAGAGGGUGAUCGGCCACACUGGAACUGAGACACGGUCCAGACUCCUACGGGAGGCGGCAGUAGGGAAUCUUCCGCAAUGGGCGAAAGCCUGACGGAGCAACGCCGCGUGAGUGAUGAAGGUCUUCGGAUCGUAAAACUCUGUUAUUAGGGAAGAACAUAUGUGUAAGUAACUGUGCACAUCUUGACGGUACCUAAUGAGAAAGCCACGGCUAACUACGUG